rnacentral:rRNA from 1 species
GUAGGAGGCGAGCGUUAUCCGGAUUUACUGGGCGUAAAGAGGGCGUAGGCGGCUCUUCAAGUCGGAUGUAAAAUCUCCCGGCUUAACUGGGAGGGACCAUUCGAUACUGUCGGGCUAGAGGGCAGCAGAGGGAGGUAGAAUUCCCGGUGUAGUGGUGAUAUGCGUAGAUAUCGGGAGGAAUACCAGUGCGAAGGCGGCCUCCUGGGCUGUUUCUGACGUUGAGGCCCAAAAGCGUGGGGAGCAAACAGGAUUAGAUACCCUGGUAGUCCACGCUGUAAACUAUGGACACUAGGUAUAGGGAGUAUCGACCCCUCUCUGUGCCGAAGCUAACGCAUUAAGUGUCCCGCCUGGGGACUACGGCCGCAAGGCUA